rnacentral:ncRNA from 1 species
CAUUCAAAGUGAGUGAUGAAAUAUAGCCUACACUUGGUCACCUGGGCUAUAUAGAGCCAAUGGUGAAACCUCCCUGAAUU